rnacentral:rRNA from 1 species
UACGGAGGGUGCAAGCGUUAUCCGGAUUUACUGGGUUUAAAGGGUGUGUAGGCGGGUAUUUAAGUCAGUGGUGAAAUCUCCGGGCUCAACCUGGAAACUGCCAUUGAUACUAUUUAUCUUGGAUCUUGUUGAGGUUGGCGGAAUAUGUCAUGUAGCGGUGAAAUGCAUAGAUAUGACAUAGAACUCCGAUUGCGAAGGCAGCUAACUAAGCAAGUAUCGACGCUGAGGCACGAAAGCGUGGGGAUCAAACAGG